UUUAUCGAUAGGUUUAUCCUUAUUUUGUGAUGCGAAAGAUGAUCAUCUACAAUGUUAUUUUUUUAAACAUUUGGAGUUUAUUAGUGUCAUUAGGCAGAAAACAAACACAAAUCUAAAAAGCCCAUCUUACAAUACCUUGUGGGUUCAAAUCCCAUAUGGGACACGGUGAAAUUCACAAAUAUUCUCUCCGAAACCUGUCUAUAGUGUUUAUAAGCAAAAUUGAAGAAUAAGAAUAUAAGAGUUUAAAAAGUCAUCAAAAGCAUUAACAAAAAUUGCAAUUUGUUUUCCAACAAAGAUACUUUCAUACACUAUUCUAAUAACUAAAUUAACAUUUUGAGAAAUUUGCAACUGCAGCUUUUGGUUUGAUACCUCUAGAUUUUAACCUUCUAUUACAGUGUAUAUAGCCAAGGAAACGUAUGUGUGUGUGCAUUCAUAUGUACAGUGUUAGAUAUAUAUACACAGGAGCUCAGAGUGCUUCUUCCACUGCAUAGUUGCUUUGCAGUGAAAAAAGGCAACUGCUGGAGGUGAAAAGCAUACAGUGAGAGGUGCAGUGUAUUGAAGAGCUCGUUUUAAGCUGUUCCUUUCAGUCCAGUUUGGUCCAAAGGAGGAAGCCCUAAGGCGUCAGCUCUUUGACAUUCUACUGGUGCAGCAGGAAUGGCUCGGGAACCAACCAACAAGGGCAUUAAGCUUGCAUGAAGUGGUAGCAGAUGAGUGUGUAUGCGAAAAAGGCCUAUACUAAAAAUUACAAGGGUGCGUAUUCUCCAGACCUGGGCCUGACGUCUUCAAGGCUCUCACCAUGAAGAGGUUACAGAAAACCAUGAGCAUGAACAUAGGAGGGAUGGAGAAAGCUACGUACUCUAAGGCAUAUCUGUAGACGGUGAGGCACAUGAAGAGGCACAGGCCCAGACAGCCCACCGUCACCACAGCACAGCCCACCAGCCUGGCCCUGCUUUCUUUGAGCAGCAUAUAGUUGUAAGGUCCCGAGAUGUCGGAGGAGACCUCUAUUUGCAAGAGCAGGUUGCAGAGAAGAAGCUUCAGGUGGAGCCCAGCAGUAUUAGUGCAGUGAUCCAAGCUUUGAUUGCCAAUCACCCAGCUGUACUGCAAGACACUUGAACAACAUCUAUUUUAUUAUCUCGUUGUGACUAAUGCAAGCCUACUGAAAAAAAAACCACAAGAAAAAUUUUCCACUGUCAUGGACAUCACAGCAAUGUUUGUAUAACAAACUGGAAUAAAUAACACAGUCCCAACACUGAAGAGAUGCCCUAUUUGAAUGUCCUCCCAAUUUAGUCUUUUGUCAUCAGCUUUAUAAACAGUGAAAUAUAAGAACUCAUCAAACUCCUGAAGUGAAAUUUGUUUAAGGUGAAAUGUGCAACCAUAGGAGACUCUGGUCAGAUUUGCAUACCUCAUCUGUAUUUCAAAGAGAAAUAAAAUGUGGU
rnacentral:lncRNA from 1 species